GUCGAGAAUAAUUCACAAUGGGGGCAACCCUGAUGGAGCGACGCCGCGUGGAGGAUAAGGUCUUCGGAUUGUAAACUCCUGUCAUGCGUGAACAAGGUUGCUUGGUUAAUACCUGGGCAAAUUGAUGGUAACGCAAGAGGAAGAGACGGCUAACUCUGUGCCAGCAGCCGCGGUAAUACAGAGGUCUCAAGCGUUGUUCGGAAUCACUGGGCGUAAAGGGUGCGUAGGUGGCGUGGUAAGUCAGAUGUGAAAGCCCGGGGCUCAACCUCGGAACUGCAUCCGAUACUGCCAUGCUAGAGUACUGGAGAGGUGACUAGAAUUCUCGGUGUAGCAGUGAAAUGCGUAGAUAUCGAGAGGAAUACCAAAGGCGUAGGCAGGUCACUGGACAGUUACUGACACUGAGGCACGAAGGCCAGGGGAGCGAACGGGAUUAGAUACCCCUGUAGUCC
rnacentral:rRNA from 1 species